rnacentral:lncRNA from 10 species
GUUUGUCAUUCACACUCCUUAGGCUCUGGAUCAGUGGCUAUGUAUUAGUCAUGGGAACCAAUUAUCCAAGGGUGUUUGGUUAAGAUGGUUUUAUUGGUGCUGGAGCAUGCAGAAUGACAAUGACUAAUGGUGUCCCACAUACUAUCAUUAUUUACUUCGUCCUCCCGUGUGCCAGGAUGUUUUUGCUUGAGCUGACUUGUUUCCCUUUUUGACUCUCCUUCCUGAAAAUCAUGAUACCAUCCAGUGCAGAAGAGGACGCUGGCGUGUAGAAGAAGAGAGGGAAUAAGAGCAGAAAAAGUUCCCUUGAACCCUGGAGGUUGCAGUGAGCCAAGAUCACGCCACUGUGCUCCAGCCUGGGCAACAGAGUGAGACUCAAUCUGAAAGAAAAAAAAAAAAAAGACAUCACCAAGGGUAAAAGAGAAAUUUUUUUUUUUUUCUGAUUAUCUAAACUCCUGCCCUCCUGCCUUCACUGUAUAUGGCUCAUUAUUUUUUUUGUUUGUUUCAAUUUUAUUUGAUUUUCUUUAAUUGUUUUUAAACAAAUUUGAAAUUUUUUCAUACAAUUGUUUUUAGUUUGAUUUGAGUCUUAGUCUUUUGGAUGCUCUGGUUUCUGCAGAACUAAUUCUAUUUUUUAAAAAAUCUUCCUAGCUUAUCUCUACGCUCUUGGUUUCCUCAAUCCUUCAUAAAACAAAUACACAUAAUAAAAGUCUUACAGAUUCAGAUUAUCUCUAGGAGAGAUGGUUGGAACUAAUGGGAAGACUGUAUUACAGUCUAUCUUUAAAC